CAACAGAAAUGACGGAAAUACAAGCGAUAGCAGCGCCGUCGCGUGGUAGAAAAAUCAAGGUUGUAUAUCACUGCCUAACGGGCAUUGAGAAAACCUUAAAUCGGGACUGCCACCUUGUUUGACUUCCAUUUGAAUCCGGACUGUCGACGUAGCAACAUGAUGUCUGACGAUAACUGCAUUGGCAUUUCAGAAAAUCUAAUGCCGCCUCCUCGUCCCUCUGCUCAUGAGGCUGCAUCCCAAAUAAUGAUUAAUAAAAUAAAAAAUAAGUUUUAAAUUUUGAUUUUGUUAAUUUAAGUGAUUAAAUUGUAUUUUUCUAUGCCUAGUCCUCCAUUGCACGGCCAGUGGAAUGUGCUCACUGAUCAGCAAUUCAUGGUUGUGGUGAAAUGAUAUUCUAAUGUGGUAGACCUGAAGAUGCAUGGUGGCAGUGUUUAAUUGCCUUGCAGUCUGGUGUUUUUUUUGGGAGAGAGGAAGUCUACAGUGAUUUUCUUUUCUUCAUGGAGCACUGGAGAAGGCAAUUGUUUAAGAAAUCAUGGGCAGUAGUUCUGAUGUAACUGUUGGGAAUCUGCUGGAGUUAGUAACUAACUCAUUUCUGUGUGAUCCAGUACAGAUAGUGGGAGUUAAUUGGCAUGGCGUAUACGUUGUCGAUGCCAUUUUCCUUGGGAUUAGUUCAUGAUAUUCCUGGUCGGCAAUAGCUGUGGUGAGUUUGAUCUUUGAGCGUGACAUUGCUACUUGUAGGCAUGUUAGCGUUUUAUGUCUGGUAUCGGUUGGCCGCGCAUCUAGGUUUGGCACACU